GACGAACGCUGGCGGCGUGCUUAACACAUGCAAGUCGAACGGGCCCGCCCCUGUUUUUGGGGGUGGGUUGAGUGGCGAACGGGUGAGUGUCACGUGAGUAACCUGCCCCCUGCUCCUGGAUAACUGCUUGAAAGGGCGGCUAAUACGGGGUGUGCCGGCUGGUCCGCAUGGGCCUGGUCGGGAUAGUUUCAUCUUCGGGUGUUUCGGUGGGGGAUGGGCUCGCGGCCUAUCAGCUUGUUGGUGGGGUGAUGGCCCACCAAGGCGGUGACGGGUAGCCGGCCUGAGAGGGUGGGCGGCCACACGGGGACUGAGACACGGCCCAGACUCCUGCGGGAGGCAGCAGUGGGGGGUAUUGCACAAUGGGCGGAAGCCUGAUGCAGCGACGUCGCGUGAGGGAUGGAGGCCUUCGGGUUGUGAACCUCUUUCUCCGGUGGUGAAGGCCCUGUCCGUUGCGGCGGGGUUGACGGUAGCCGGGUAUGAAGCGCCGGCUAACUACGUG
rnacentral:rRNA from 1 species